rnacentral:rRNA from 1 species
AUACGGAGGAUGCGAGCGUUAUCCGGAAUCAUUGGGUUUAAAGGGUGCGUAGGCGGCCUUUCAAGCCCGGGGUGAAAAUCUGGGGCCCAACCCCAGACCUGCCUCGGGAACUGGCUGGCUGGAGUACGCUUGCCGCGGGAGGAAUGAGUGGUGUAGCGGUGAAAUGCAUAGAUAUCACUCAGAACACCGAUUGCGAAGGCAUCCCGCGAAGGCGCGACUGACGCUGAGGCACGAAAGCGUGGGGAUCGAACAGGAUUAGAUACCCUGGUAUUCCACGCCGUAAACGAUGAUGACUAACCGUCGGCGAUAGACAGCCGGUGGCCAAGCGAAAGCGAUAAGUCAUCCACCUGGGGAGUACGUCGGCAACGAUGAAACUCAAAUGAAUUGGCGGGG